AGAGUUUGAUCAUGUCUCAGGAUGAACGCUGGCGGCGUGCUUAACACAUGCAAGUCGAACGAACCUUCGGGUUAGUGGCGGACGGGUGAGUAACGCGUGAGAAUCUGCCCUCAGGAGGGGGAUAACGGUUGGAAACGACCGCUAAUACCCCAUAUGCCUACUGGUGAAACGAAUUUCGCCUGAGGAUGAGCUCGCGUCUGAUUAGCUAGUUGGUGAGGUAAUGGCUCACCAAGGCUUCGAUCAGUAGCUGGUCUGAGAGGAUGAUCAGCCACACUGGGACUGAGACACGGCCCAGACUCCUACGGGAGGCAGCAGUGGGGAAUUUUCCGCAAUGGGCGAAAGCCUGACGGAGCAACGCCGCGUGAGGGACGAAGGCCUCUGGGCUGUAAACCUCUUUUCUCAAGGAAGAAGAUAUGACGGUACUUGAGGAAUAAGCCACGGCUAAUUCCGUGCCAGCAGCCGCGGUAAUACGGGAGUGGCAAGCGUUAUCCGGAAUUAUUGGGCGUAAAGCGUCCGCAGGCGGCUUUUCAAGUCUGCUGUUAAAGCGUGGAGCUUAACUCCAUCAUGGCAGUGGAAACUGAAAGGCUUGAGUAUGGUAGGGGCAGAGGGAAUUCCCGGUGUAGCGGUGAAAUGCGUAGAUAUCGGGAAGAACACCAGUGGCGAAGGCGCUCUGCUGGGCCAUUACUGACGCUCAUGGACGAAAGCCAGGGGAGCGAAAGGGAUUAGAUACCCCUGUAGUCCUGGCCGUAAACGAUGAACACUAGGUGUCGGGGGAAUCGACCCCUUCGGUGUCGUAGCUAACGCGUUAAGUGUUCCGCCUGGGGAGUACGCACGCAAGUGUGAAACUCAAAGGAAUUGACGGGGGCCCGCACAAGCGGUGGAGUAUGUGGUUUAAUUCGAUGCAACGCGAAGAACCUUACCAGGGUUUGACAUCCUGCGAACCUCUUAGAAAUUUGAGGGUGCCUUCGGGAAUGCAGUGACAGGUGGUGCAUGGCUGUCGUCAGCUCGUGUCGUGAGAUGUUGGGUUAAGUCCCGCAACGAGCGCAACCCACGUUUUUAGUUGCCAGCAUUUAGUUGGGCACUCUAGAAAGACCGCCGGUGAUAAACCGGAGGAAGGUGUGGAUGACGUCAAGUCAUCAUGCCCCUUACAUCCUGGGCUACACACGUACUACAAUGCUACGGACAAAGGGCAGCAAGUUCGCGAGGACAAGCAAAUCCCAUAAACCGUGGCUCAGUUCAGAUCGUAGGCUGCAACUCGCCUACGUGAAGGAGGAAUCGCUAGUAAUCGCAGGUCAGCAUACUGCGGUGAAUACGUUCCCGGGCCUUGUACACACCGCCCGUCACACCAUGGAAGUUGGCCACGCCCGAAGCCGUUACUCCAACCCUUGUGGAGGAGGACGUCGAAGGUGGGGCUGAUGACUGGGGUGAAGUCGUAACAAGGUAACCGUA
rnacentral:rRNA from 1 species